CUGGGAGUUAAGGGUCGCAAUGGUUCCUGAGUGAGCUUUUGGAAGGUGCUGCAUCGGACCCCAGACAGAACUAAAAGAUGACAACAGCAGCCAGGCCAACUUUUGAACCUGCAAGAGGUGGGAGAGGAAAAGGAGAAGGGGAUUUGAGCCAGCUCUCCCAGCAGUAUUCAAGCAGAGACCUUCCCUCUCAUACAAAGAUAAAGUACGGAAAAACCACACAGGAUGCCCCUGAAGAGGGUCGCAACGGUGACUUCAGGAGAGAGCUGGAAGAGAGAGAGAGAGCUGCUGCAAGGGACAAAAACAGGGACCGCCCAAUUCGAGAGCAUACAACUUCCUCUUCAGUGUCAAAGAAGCCCCGCUUAGACCAGAUUCCUGCUGCCAACCUUAAUGCUGACGAUCCUCUCACAGAUGAGGAAGAUGAGGAUUUUGAAGAGGAGAGCGAUGACGAUGAUACUGCAGCUCUUCUGGCAGAGCUAGAAAAGAUCAAGAAGGAAAGGGUUGAAGAGCAGGCCAGGAAGGAACAAGAACGAAAAGCAGAGGAAGAGAGAAUUCACAUGGAGAACAUUCUGAGUGGAAACCCUCUCCUAAAUCUCACUGGCCCAUCCCAGCCUCAGGCCAACUUCAAGGUUAGAAGAAGAUGGGACGAUGAUGUCGUUUUUUUAAAGAACUGUGCCAAAGGUAUAGAUGAUCAGAAGACAGACAAACAAUUUGUAAACGAUACACUGCGAUCUGAAUUUCACAAAAAGUUCAUGGAGAAAUAUAUUAAGUAGUAUAGUUUUAUGUGCUUAAUUAAAAACUAAAGUGUU